CCAGUCCCAACUUUGAGCUUCCGCACCCCCACUUCCUAAGUGGGAUCUUAGGCGUGAAGCAGAAGAUGUGGCCCAGAUUAAAGGUGGAUCUUCACCCUCAAAGAUCCAGAUUAGAACUCCUGGCUGGUGACAUGUGGAUGACACUCUAUAACUAUCAGAUGGUCCCACAAAUACCAACAUUGCUGCUCCAUCUGAAUCAAAUCCUCCAUACCCACAAGGGUUGUUUGUCCUCUUUUCUGCCUGAUGUCACAGCUGGGAUACCUUGAUGUCACAAAGUGGAAGAUGAAGAGGCAUAGUCUAACAUGUGGAAGAAAAUGUGAUGCUGGGGUCCAGUUUUUCUUGAGUGGUUGUGCAUUUCUAUCUGCUUUUCUUAGCUCUGUUCAUUUCCCUGCUCCAGUAUUCACUUGCUGUUGCCAGGGACCCAUGAGCCUCGGAGUUGAAGUCAAGAUAGCUCCCUGGCUCUGGAUUUUGCAGUAAUGAAUGCACCCACCAAGGUAAUAAUAAACUCGCAGUCUCAUUACUUGCCU
rnacentral:lncRNA from 1 species